ensembl:lncRNA
AGGCUAGUUACAGUGAGUCCCCUACAUACAAACCUUCAAGUUGUGAACUUACAAAGCUGUGAACAUGUAUUCCAUCAACAUCAGGCAUGAGUGAAAUUAUUUUCCGUCUUUUACUGUUGACAAUCCUUCAGCUCUACCAUCUCCCACCACCACUCCCUCCUCCAGUCAGUAGCUCUUCUUGCUUGUUCACUCGAUGCCAGCUCCUGUAUGCCAGCUGCUGCACUGUACUACUGUACUUUUCAAGGAUGUCUGGCUUGGCGGCUGCAAUGGACAGCGCAGAAGCAUGGCCAAGAGGAACUACUCCAUGUCCAAGGUCAGGGGCAGCGGCCAGGAGGAGCUACCCCACCCCCGAGGUCAGGGGCGGCAGAGGGGAAGAGCUACCUCACGUCCAACGUAAGGAUCAGGCUGUGCUUUGCUGGAGCAGCUGUGAAGAGAUACCCCAUGCCCAAGGUAAGAGAAACCCAAGUAAGAUGGUAGGCACUGAGAGACAGCAUCAGAGGGCAGACUGAGGGAAACCACAAUCACAGACAGCUAGCCAAUCUUAACACACGGACCACAACCUUGUCUAACUCAGUGAAACUAAGCCAUGCCUUGUGGGGCUACCCAAGAUGGACGGGUCAUGGUGGAGAGGUCUGACAGAAUGUGGUCCACUGGAGAAGGGAAUGGCAAACCACUUCAGUAUUCUUGCCUUGAGAACCCCAUGAACAGCAUGAAAAAGAAAAAAGAUAGGACACUGAAAGAUGAACUCCACAGGUCGGUAGGUGCCCAAUAUGCUACUGGUGAUCAGUGGAGAAAUAAAUCCAGAAAGAAUGAAGGGAUGGAGCCAAAGCAAAAACAACACCCAGUUGUGGACGGGACUGGUGAUAGAAGCAAGGUCCAAUGCUGUAGAGAGCAAUAUUGCAUAGGAACC